rnacentral:lncRNA from 1 species
CCACAGUGCCUGCCCCAUCGUGAGCUUCCAAGUGCCUGUACACAGGAGGUGCUCAGCUGCUGGGCUGCCAUGGUCUUUGUCUGGGGAUGAGAGGGGGUCCCCCUGAAACUCUACCAGGAGAAUGGGCACUGCUUUAGUUGGUGUCACUGAAAUGAGUACGUGUGGAGGUGCCACUCUGGAAGCUGGGCAGACUUCAGCCCAUCUUGCCACUUUUCUUCAACGUGCCUCCUUCAAGAUCACAACCACCUGGAAUUGGCCAAGCUCAGCGCCAGGACCUGGGACAUGGAGACAUGGCCCCUGCUGAUGAAAAGCUUGCAGUGCAUGCAGAUUUGAUCCCGAGGGAGCCUGAGUUCUUCAGGUUGAGAAUUGUCAUCCCUGCUGUGUUCUAGAACCCAACAAGGGGCUAGCCCACUGAAGGCACUGUUAUCAGCUCUCAUUUUCAUUCUGAGUAUGCAGCUUCUCCCUCUUCCCGUUUAGUCGGAAUCCCUCAAACAAAAUGAUACCUGCCUUGCCAAACCUGGUCUCCACCCCGCAGCCUUAGGGGUUGGUGGAGCCUCUGUAAGCCUGGACACCUGUGCAGUUGACAUUAGAAGCAAUGGAGGAGUACAGGUGACCCAUUAGAGGUAGAGAAUGGAUCACUGAGGGCCAAGAAAUUCGGUCAGAACUCCCUUAAGAGACGACUGCAUUCUCAUGGGAAUGGCAACCCUGCCUCUGAUUCUGCUACCAGAAUUCUCCCAGAUAUUGGCCCCCAUGGUGUCCAGGCCCUUUGGGAGGCUGCAGGGAUGCUAAGACCCAUUCCAACAUCAACAUGAUGAUUCAUUCCAGCGUCAACAGUGUCCCCUGGCCAGACGUCCCCAGACAGGUGCCAGGACUUAGUGCUGCAAAGAGUAUGUACUAAACCCAGAAGAGAUCUGGCAGUUUCACUUGUCUUUCUGCCAAUCCUUGGGACAAGCUGAGAUAGGCUUUUUAAAAGUCCAGUCAACUAACGGCUUGGAUAGAUUGGGAGGUUCUGAUUUUUGAAAGUUUUUAAAUUGAGAAAUAUGUUCUAUCUUAAAAGGUAUGUAAUAUUUUUAUAGUUUAAUAAAAUGAGCAGUCAUGAACCUACUAUCCA